rnacentral:rRNA from 1 species
UACGUAGGGUCCGAGCGUUGUCCGGAGUUACUGGGCGUAAAGCGCGCGCAGGCGGCGGUGUUGGCCCGGCGUGAAAGCCCCCCGGCUCAACCGGGGAGGGUCGUCGGGGACCGCACCGCUUGAGGGCGGUAGGGGCUGGUGGAAUGCCUGGUGUAGUGGUGAAAUGCGUAGAGAUCAGGCGGAACACCCGUGGCGAAGGCGGCCAGCUGGGCCGUCCCUGACGCUGAGACGCGAAAGCGUGGGGAGCGAACAGG